UACGUAGGUGGCAAGCGUUGUCCGGAAUUAUUGGGCGUAAAGCGUGCGCAGGCGGCCUUUUAAGUCUGAUGUGAAAGCCCACGGCUCAACCGUGGAAGGUCAUUGGAAACUGAAAGGCUUGAGUACAGAAGAGGAAAGCGGAAUUCCACGUGUAGCGGUGAAAUGCGUAGAGAUGUGGAGGAACACCAGUGGCGAAGGCGGCUUUCUGGUCUGUAACUGACGCUGAGGCGCGAAAGCGUGGGGAGCAAACAGG
rnacentral:rRNA from 1 species